CUUGUUUCAACUCAUCAUUCCUGUACAGCGGAGAUGCCGAAUGCAGUUUGGUGCUCUUUUUGUUGAGAUGUUGAGACCUGCAAAGCUGGAAGUUUGUCGACUCCUGCUAUUUGUAUAACGGCUCCACUCCUAAGACUUUGUGAACUCCGGUACCUAACGUACACUACCUCCUCCACUGCCUCAUACAUGCUUCUUUACCUAUUCCUCUGGUCCAUCUUCAACCCUGGAAGAGUGAAGAGCAGAGACUGCCCUGAUCCUGUGAUCCUCGAUCCUCUCCUUAUCCCAGUCCUGAUCACUAACAAUGAGUACAGCUGCUGCCUGACCUGCUGACAUUUUCUCGAGUUCUGGAGAAGGAAUUGUGUUCUACCUCCAGUUAUGCUCUGAGUGUUGAUCCUUCAAAAUGGGUGAGUCAACUGUCCAUUUCUCCAGGACAGGCGUC